rnacentral:rRNA from 1 species
GUCUACAGCCAUGCUCCCCUCAACAAGCUUGUUCCCAUCUGAUCUUGGAAGCUAAGCAGGGUCGGGCCUGGUUAGUACUUGGAUGGGAGACCACCUAGGAAGACUAGGUGCUGUAGGCA